ensembl:lncRNA
UGAAAAUAGCUCAAUCUCACCCUUCCAUCAGCUUAAAGGAGCUCUCGGACCUCUCCCCAAGCUUCAUCUCUCACCAGAGACUACCACACUUCCUCCUCCUGGAAAAAGUCCUUAGAUUCCUCCCAUGACUCCUUGGAUCUUCUUCUUGGUCCAGUGCCCUGUUCUUCAACAUGGUGCUUCUUGUGAGGCCUGGGCAGCCCAAGAUGCAUGGGGAUGUCUUCUGUCUUGCUGUUGAUGCUGCUUCUAGGGCCUUAUUUGGAGUCUGGAUGUCUUCAUCUCACUGAUAGCAAGAAGGUUGCCAGGUCCCCUAAACCUGCAAAUUAUGCUCACACAUGCCAUUCAUUUCCCAUGUGAACGUCAACAGUCACGAUAGACUCAGUAAAAAAUUCCUUCCUUCCUUCCUCCCUUCUUUUUUCUAUCUUGUUCUCUACCUUCCACCAAGCAUUAUAAAGGUAUCUCCUUAUACCAGUACUCCUUGUCUGUGUGAAAACCCCCCACAGAACCAGAUCCGGCUGUACAUGGGGGGAAAGGAUCAUUUCUUUGUGUGGAGGAAUUUCUGGGUCAACGCGGGGCUCUCCGCCUUUCCCCCCUAUUCUGCUGUAGUCGUGAUCUUUCCCACCAGCUAGCUCAUCAUUGAUCUCGUACAGCUACGGUCCUGUAGAGAAUAUCUUUGCUCAUGAGUGGAGGAUGGAGGAUGCCAAAGCUGUGCCCUCCUCUUGGUCAUUUGUACCACACAUGGGGACAAAGUUUGAUAGGAGACCAAAGGGAUCAACUCUGGAAGGGCCCAGUCUUGAGUUGAGGUAGGAAAUGGACAACACAGAGACCCCAAGGUUGAACUCUCUCUUUUGCCUGCAAUGAGCCAUGGUGGGUCUGUUAACUCCCUGAGAAUCCUUGGCCUCUCAGAGCCUGCUGAACAACCCUGUUGCUUCUCCUAGAUUUUGUAUCCCAUGAAGCACAGCUACAGGAAUCUGUGUCUGCAGGGAAUUGGUUCCAGGAUCCUUAGGACACCAUUGCUCUGGGAGCCAGGCAGGAAUUUGAUCAUUUGGCAGUAAUGGCCGGAGGGCCUUUGUGGGCUGGGAGAGGUGGCUAGGAUUACUAGAAGGCCGCAUUUAGUCACCUUGGAUCCCUUCUAGGAGCAGGAGUAUCAGUAGAGAAGCCUGGAUAUCACUGAGGAGGAAGUGACAGAAGAUGUUCAAGGCACAGGCAUAGAGGGCGUCCUCAGUGGAGUUCAGCAAUGGGGGGACUGAGGUGACAGCUGCAUUCCUCCUCCCAGGUUCCAGGACAACAACGCUCACAUGCUUUUGUUUAUACACAGACACACACUCACACACAUGUUUUUUUUGAGCUGUACUUUGUGGAAAAUGCUGCAUAGACCUAAGCAUUCUGCAGACAGCUCCACUACCUCACGUCUGAGACACCUCAGGGGAUGAGCCCUCAGGGACCUCCCAGCUCAGGUGGAGAGGGUGAGACACAGAAGCCUCUGAGGCAUGGGGAGGGCUUCCUGGGGGACAUGGACUCUGCCUGUCCCAUAUGAGGGAUGGUGGGCU